rnacentral:rRNA from 1 species
GAUGAACGCUGGCGGCGUGCCUAAUACAUGCAAGUCGAGCGAACGGACGCUGCGCUUGCUUUUUUGUUGUUAGCGGAGGACGGGUGAGUCACACGUGGAUCCCGUCCCUAUCUGUCUGGGAUAACUACGAGACUCCGGCGAUUAUACCGGAUAAUAUUUUGCACCACGUGGUUCGAUAGAGAAAGUCGGUCUUGCUGUAUGUUAUCGCUGCAUACGCGCUGGAUGAGCUAGUUGGUAAGGUAACGGCUUACCACGGCAACGAUGCAUAGCCGACCUGCGAGGGGGAUAGGCGACACGGGAAGGUGGACGCGGACCAGACGACUACGGGAGGCAGCAGUAGGGAAUCGGCCGCAAUGGGCGAAAGCCUGACGGAGCAACGCCGCGUGAGUGAUGAAGGUCCUCGGAGCGGAAAGCCCUGUUAUUGGGGAAGAACAGAUGUGGAAGGAACUGUGCACAGCGUGACGGUAACGAAUCAGAAAGCCACGGCUAACUACGUG